rnacentral:rRNA from 1 species
AUUGAACGCUGGCGGCAUGCUUUACACAUGCAAGUCGGACGGCAGCAUAAAAGAGCUUGCUCUUUUGAUGGCGAGUGGCGAACGGGUGAGUAAUGCAUCGGAACGUACCGAGUAGUGGGGGAUAACUGUCCGAAAGGAUGGCUAAUACCGCAUAUUCUCUGAGGAGGAAAGCAGGGGACCUUAGGGCCUUGCGCUAUUUGAGCGGCCGAUGUCUGAUUAGCUAGUUGGUGGGGUAAGAGCCCACCAAGGCGACGAUCAGUAGCGGGUCUGAGAGGAUGAUCCGCCACACUGGGACUGAGACACGGCCCAGACUCCUACGGGAGGCAGCAGUGGGGAAUUUUGGACAAUGGGCGCAAGCCUGAUCCAGCCAUGCCGCGUGUAUGAAGAAGGCCUUCGGGUUGUAAAGUACUUUUGUCAGGGAAGAAAAGCCUGAGGAUAACACCCUCAGGUCAUGACGGUACCUGAAGAAUAAGCACCGGCUAACUACGUGCCAGCAGCCGCGGUAAUACGUAGGGUGCGAGCGUUAAUCGGAAUUACUGGGCGUAAAGCGAGCGCAGACGGUUAUUUAAGCAAGAUGUGAAAGCCCCGGGCUCAACCUGGGAACUGCGUUUUGAACUGGGUAACUAGAGUGUGUCAGAGGGGGGUAGAAUUCCACGUGUAGCAGUGAAAUGCGUAGAGAUGUGGAGGAAUACCGAUGGCGAAGGCAGCCCCCUGGGAUAACACUGACGUUCAUGCUCGAAAGCGUGGGUAGCAAACAGG